rnacentral:rRNA from 1 species
CUCGUAGGCGGUUCGUCGCGUCCGGUGUGAAAGUCCAUCGCUUAACGGUGGAUCCGCGCCGGGUACGGGCGGGCUUGAGUGCGGUAGGGGAGACUGGAAUUUCCGGUGUAACGGUGGAAUGCGUAGAUAUCGGGAGGAACACCAGUGGCGAAGGCGGCCUACUGGGCACCAACUGACGCUGAGGCUCGAAAGUGUGGGUAGCAAACA